rnacentral:rRNA from 1 species
GAUGAACGCUGGCGGCGUGCUUAACACAUGCAAGUCGAACGGUGAAGCCAAGCUUGCUUGGUGGAUCAGUGGCGAACGGGUGAGUAACACGUGAGCAACCUGCCCUGGACUCUGGGAUAAGCGCUGGAAACGGCGUCUAAUACUGGAUAUGAGACGUGAUCGCAUGGUCAACGUUUGGAAAGAUUUUUCGGUCUGGGAUGGGCUCGCGGCCUAUCAGCUUGUUGGUGAGGUAAUGGCUCACCAAGGCGUCGACGGGUAGCCGGCCUGAGAGGGUGACCGGCCACACUGGGACUGAGACACGGCCCAGACUCCUACGGGAGGCAGCAGUGGGGAAUAUUGCACAAUGGGCGGAAGCCUGAUGCAGCAACCGCCGCGUGAGGGAUGACGGCCUUCGGGUUGUAAACCUCUUUUAGCAGGGAAGAAGCGAAAGUGACGGUACCUGCAGAAAAAGCGCCGGCUAACUACGUGCCAGCAGCCGCGGUAAUACGUAGGGCGCAAGCGUUAUCCGGAAUUAUUGGGCGUAAAGAGCUCGUAGGCGGUUUGUCGCGUCUGCUGUGAAAUCCCGAGGCUCAACCUCGGGCCUGCAGUGGGUACGGGCAGACUAGAGUGCGGUAGGGGAGAUUGGAAUUCCUGGUGUAGCGGUGGAAUGCGCAGAUAUCAGGAGGAACACCGAUGGCGAAGGCAGAUCUCUGGGCCGUAACUGACGCUGAGGAGCGAAAGGGUGGGGAGCAAACAGGCUUAGAUACCCUGGUAGUCCACCCCGUAAACGUUGGGAACUAGUUGUGGGGACCAUUCCACGGUUUCCGUGACGCAGCUAACGCAUUAAGUUCCCCGCCUGGGGAGUACGGCCGCAAGGCUAAAACUCAAAGGAAUUGACGGGGACCCGCACAAGCGGCGGAGCAUGCGGAUUAAUUCGAUGCAACGCGAAGAACCUUACCAAGGCUUGACAUACACCAGAACGGGCCAGAAAUGGUCAACUCUUUGGACACUGGUGAACAGGUGGUGCAUGGUUGUCGUCAGCUCGUGUCGUGAGAUGUUGGGUUAAGUCCCGCAACGAGCGCAACCCUCGUUCUAUGUUGCCAGCACGUAAUGGUGGGAAC